GCUGGAUGUGGUGGCAUGUGCCUGUAGUCCCAGCUACUCAGGAGGCUGAGGCAGGAGAAUCGCUUGAACCCGGGAGGCAGAGGUUGCAGUGAGCCGAGAUCACACCACUGCACUCCAGCCUGGAAGACAGAGUAAGACUCUGUCUCAAAAAAUAAUAAUAAAAAUUUAAAAUAUAUAUAUUUGGUGAAAAGACUAAUUACAUUUUCUGUCUUUUUUUUUUUUUUUUUGAGACAGAGUCUUGCUCUAUCACCAGGCUGGAGUGCAGUGGUGUGAUCUCGGCUCACUGCAACCUCUGCCUCCCGGGUUCAAGCGAUUCUCCUGCCUCAG
rnacentral:SRP_RNA from 1 species